GUUCUCUUAGUUAUUAUAAUUCCACAUUCUUUAUGAUUAAAUUCUCUCUCUCUCUCUCUCGAUUGGAUGAAUUUGAUAGAUCUUUUGGAUUUUGUUCUUUGGAGUGCUGAUCAAUAUUGGCUUCAUUGGAUUUCUUUACAUUUUCUGUGAGUUGAAUUUUCGAUGUAAUCUGUGCUUGUUUAUAAUGUUUGUGGUUCCUUUUUGUCAAGAGAAAGAACUUUUUUCCACAUUCAAAUGGGGAAGGAAGAAAGUCUGGAACAAGGGGGAUCAACCAGAACUGAACUUCCUUUGCUGUUUAGUUAGGAAGAGAGAGGUGUAUAUCAGAGACAGGUUCUGAGAAGGGAUUCAGUUUUUUAUGUGAUGAAUUAUGCUCCCUUAAUCUCUCAAUAUUUUCUAUUUGGUUUGCGAUGAAUUAUGCUCCCUAAGAUCUCUCGAUAUUUUCUGUUGACUUCUUCAUUCUUCUUAAAUUCUCUACAUUUCUUCUACAUUUGGUCUGUGAUAUAGGUUGGGCUUUGAUUGAGUGGGCUUCAACCAUUACACUUUUCCAUUUUAUGCUUGGUUAAUUCAGCAAUUAUGUUUUUCGGAGUUCUGGUUUAUUUUAUUUAUUUAUUUUUUAUUUUUAAAAUUCCAUGUUUAUAAUUUACUUUCUCUGUUUAGAUGAAUCUAGA
rnacentral:lncRNA from 1 species